UACGGGGGGUGCAAGCGUUAAUCGGAAUUACUGGGCGUAAAGGGUGCGUAGGUUGUUUGAUAAGUUAUCUGUGAAAGUCCCGGGCUCAACCUGGGGGAGUCAGAUAAGACUGUUGGACUAGAGUAUGGCAGAGGGUAGUGGAAUUUCCGGUGUAGCGGUGAAAUGCGUAGAGAUCGGAAGGAACACCAGUAGCGAAGGCGGCUACCUGGGCUAAUACUGACACUGAGGCACGAAAGCGUGGGGAGCAAACAGG
rnacentral:rRNA from 1 species